rnacentral:tRNA from 1 species
GCUUUCGUAGCUCAGUUGGAUAGAGCACCUGUUUCCUAAACAGGGGGUCGUGGGUUCGAGUCCCGCCGAAAGUA